rnacentral:rRNA from 1 species
GUGGAUUAGAUACCCUGGUAGUCCACGCCGUAAACGAUGAUCACUCGCUGUUGGCGAUACACAGUCAGCGGCUAAGCAAAAGCAUUAAGUGAUCCACCUGGGGAGUACGGCCGCAAGGCUGAAACUCAAAGGAAUUGACGGGGGCCCGCACAAGCGGAGGAACAUGUGGUUUAAUUCGAUGAUACGCGAGGAACCUUACCUGGGCUUAAAUGUAGAGUGCAUGAGGUAGAAAUACUUCUUUCCUUCGGGACUCUUUGCAAGGUGCUGCAUGGUUGUCGUCAGCU